GAUGAACGCUGGCGGCGUGCUUAACACAUGCAAGUCGAACGAUGAAGCCCAGCUUGCUGGGUGGAUUAGUGGCGAACGGGUGAGUAACACGUGAGUAACCUGCCCUUAACUCUGGGAUAAGCCUGGGAAACUGGGUCUAAUACCGGAUAGGAGCGUCCACCGCAUGGUGGGUGUUGGAAAGAUUUAUCGGGUUUGGAUGGACUCGCGGCCUAUCAGCUUGUUGGUGAGGUAAUGGCUCACCAAGGCGACGACGGGUAGCCGGCCUGAGAGGGUGACCGGCCACACUGGGACUGAGACACGGCCCAGACUCCUACGGGAGGCAGCAGUGGGGAAUAUUGCACAAUGGGCGCAAGCCUGAUGCAGCGACGCCGCGUGAGGGAUGACGGCCUUCGGGUUGUAAACCUCUUUCAGUAGGGAAGAAGCGAAAGUGACGGUACCUGCAGAAGAAGCACCGGCUAACUACGUG
rnacentral:rRNA from 1 species